rnacentral:rRNA from 1 species
CCUACGGGAGGCUGCAGUGAGGAAUAUUGGUCAAUGGACGAGAGUCUGAACCAGCCAAGUAGCGUGAAGGAUGACUGCCCUAUGGGUUGUAAACUUCUUUUAUAAAGGAAUAAAACGAGGCACGUGUGCCUUUUUGUAUGUACUUUAUGAAUAAGGAUCGGCUAACUCCGUGCCAGCAGCCGCGGUAAUACGGAGGAUCCGAGCGUUAUCCGGAUUUAUUGGGUUUAAAGGGAGCGUAGAUGGGUUGUUAAGUCAGUUGUGAAAGUUUGCGGCUCAACCGUAAAAUUGCAAUUGAUACUGGCAGUCUUGAGUACAGUUGAGGUAAGCGGAAUUCGUGGUGUAGCGGUGAAAUGCUUAGAUAUCACGAAGAACCCCGAUUGCGAAGGCAGCUUACUAAACUGUCACUGACAUUGAUGCUCGAAAGUGUGGGUAUCAAACAGGAUUAGAUACCCCAGUAGUC